AGAGUUUGAUCCUGGCUCAGGAUGAACGCUGGCGGCGUGCCUAACACAUGCAAGUCGAGCGAAGCACUUUACUCUGAUUUCUUCGGACUGAAGAGUGAUUUGACUGAGCGGCGGACGGGUGAGUAACGCGUGGGUAAUCUGCCUCACACAGGGGGAUAACAGUUAGAAAUGACUGCUAAUACCGCAUAAGGCCACAGCACCGCAUGGUGCAGGGGUAAAAACUCCGGUGGUGUGAGAUGAGCCCGCGUCUGAUUAGCCAGUUGGCGGGGUAAUGGCCCACCAAAGCAACGAUCAGUAGCCGGCCUGAGAGGGUGAACGGCCACAUUGGGACUGAGACACGGCCCAAACUCCUACGGGAGGCAGCAGUGGGGAAUAUUGCACAAUGGGGGAAACCCUGAUGCAGCGACGCCGCGUGAGCGAAGAAGUAUUUCGGUAUGUAAAGCUCUAUCAGCAGGGAAGAAAAUGACGGUACCUGACUAAGAAGCACCGGCUAAAUACGUGCCAGCAGCCGCGGUAAUACGUAUGGUGCAAGCGUUAUCCGGAUUUACUGGGCGUAAAGGGAGCGUAGACGGAUGUGCAAGUCUGGAGUGAAAGCCCGGGGCUCAACCCCGGGACUGCUUUGGAAACUGUAUAUCUUGAGUGCUGGAGAGGUAAGUGGAAUUCCUAGUGUAGCGGUGAA
rnacentral:rRNA from 1 species